rfam:Schistosoma margrebowiei strain Zambia genome assembly, scaffold: SMRZ_contig0003796
AUCUAGCUGACGAGUCCCAAAUAGGAUGAAAUGCACUUCCUAGAU